rnacentral:tRNA from 1 species
CCGCCGGUAGCGUAGUGGUCAUCGCCCAGACCGGUACUCUGGAGGUCGUGGGUUCAAAUCCCACCUGGCGAG